CUUCACACCUUCACACCUGCACCUGAUCUCUGCAAUCACCACCUGCAUUUAAGCCCUGCCCGGAGGCUUCUCCAGUGCCAGAUUAUUCCCGCAUCUGAAGUGGUAUCUUGUGCCUCCACGAGCCCUCAGUGCUUUUUCCCUAUCGCUGCCACACUGCCUCACUCUCUACCUGGAUUUUAUUCACCAGCCUCCACCUCUAGUCCUCAUGCAUUGGACCCUGGAUCCAUUCCCUGCUCCCUUUGUUCCAUACAAUAAAUUCACUGAACUGCA